rnacentral:lncRNA from 1 species
GUGUGUGAGAAUUGCCUCGCCACAAGGUUCUGGAAUUGAGUGUGUGAAAAUUGUCUCGCCACUCUCUAUAGAUGUAACUGAAUACCAAUGCAUGGAUACCAUAGAUGUAGAUGGAAGACUAUGUGUGUGACAAUAUUAAAAAUCUUUGACAUUUUGAUGAUAUGUUUUAAAAUUGAUUUACAUUGAUUUGUUAGUGACUUU